UGCCCACCCAUAUCCUCUGUGCCCUUCACUGUGCUCAGCCUUGCUCCCAACUGUCAGUAGCUGCCUUUUGGUGCCUAGGAGCUUUUUUUUUUUUCUCCUGAACCGCAGAACGCCAGAAGUGCCAAGCAAUUAACAACCCCAGAAGCAACCCUUAACCAAUGAUUAAAUAAAGUGGAUGAUUACAUACCCAAGCUCCUUCAACUCCCAGGGACAUAAUUCUGAGGGAUGGAAAACAAACUGAAACUGGCUCAAGUGAAGGCUCACUGGAAGGCUUACUGGAAAACUUACUGGAAGGAUGUGAGGAGAUGUUCGGGAAUCUAUUUGCAGAAAACAUGUUCAGCCCUGUCCACCACAGCCAGCUGGCUGAAGAGCUCAAAAGGCAAGAAAUCAGCAAGAGAGAGAUAUGAAGCAUGAGAAAUGAGCAAAAAACACCCAGCACAUCAUAAUCAUGGACAGUUUAGCAGUACAUGAAAAUAGAUGGUCCUCGCCCCAAGGGACUGCAGUAACCCUGAAUAAACAGGAUAUCUCUCACUUUUAGCAGUUCUUUCUGUGCUAGUAUUGGGGAAAUAUAUUUUUGGCUGCAUGCAAAAUGGUAAAA
rnacentral:lncRNA from 1 species